rnacentral:rRNA from 1 species
AUACGGAGGAUCCGAGCGUUAUCCGGAUUUAUUGGGUUUAAAGGGUGCGCAGGCGGCCAUUUAAGUCAGCGGUUAAAUCGUGGGGCUCAACCCCAUUCUGCCGUUGAUACUGGGUGGCUUGAUUGCGGUCGAGGUUGGCGGAAUUCGUUGUGUAGCGGUGAAAUGCAUAGAUAUGACGAAGAACACCGACUGCGUAGGCAGCUGACCAGAUCGCAAAUGACGCUCAUGCACGAAAGUGCGGGGAUCGAACAGGAUUAGAUACCCUGGUAGUCCGCACAGUAAACGAUGAAUACUUGUUUUCGGCGAUAUAAUGUCGGAGGCAAAGCGAAAGCGAUAAGUAUUCCACCUGGGGAGUACGCCGGCAACGGUGAAACUCAAAGGAAUUGACGGG